rnacentral:tRNA from 1 species
GGAGAGGUGGCAGAGCGGUCGAAUGCGGCAGGUUGCUAACUUGUUAUGCGGGUAAAACCGCAUCGAGGGUUCGAAUCCCUCCCUCUCCGCAA